UACGGAAGGGGCAAGCGUUGUUCGGAAUCAUUGGGCGUAAAGGGCGCGUAGGCGGUUCUGUAUGUCUACCGUGAAAGCGUACGGCUCAACCGUAUUUUGUCGGUGGAAACUGCAGGACUUGAGGCUGGGAGGGGCUGGUGGAAUUCCCUGUGUAGCGGUGAAAUGCGUAGAGAUGGGGGAGAACACUCGUGGCGAAGGCGGCCAGCUAGACCAGUUCUGACACUGAGGCGCGAAAGCGUGGGGAGCAAACAGG
rnacentral:rRNA from 1 species